ACAACCACAUCCAUAUAUAAUUCACCCAACACACACCUCAUACCAAAAUCAAAUCCACUCAUAAUAAUGGCAGCCCAGCUGGCUUUCUCUUCUUCUUUGAUCCCCACCAAAGUUUCUACCUUUCUCAACUCAUCAUCGUCUCUGCUUCUCACCCAGACCUCACCCAAGACCAGACUUCGCCAGUCCAGAACUCAAGCAAAAUUGGGAGGAGGAGAUGGAGGGAUUAAUCCCAAAGGGAGGAAGAAGUUCAUUACAAGAGAAGAAGAACCAGAACAGUAUUGGCAAACUGCAGGGGAAAGGGAAGGAGAGAACCCUAUGAAGACUCCUCUCCCUUAUAUCAUCAUUUUUGGUAUGUCAACACCUUUCGUGAUCUUGGCCAUUGCUUUUGCUAAUGGCUGGAUUAAAGUUCCUGUCCGGUGAAGGUGUCAAGGCAGGAACUGGAUUGAACACAUUUGAGUUUUGGUUUUCAGUUCAGUUAAUAAGAAAAGUUCUUCAGUUCAGCCAUCCGAACUCUCACAUGCGUAUACUUGUCAGACUUGCUUGAAGACAUAUCCAAAAUUCAAGUGACGAUAUCUAUAGCACAGGCUGCACAAUGGUCUUUCAUACCAACUCAUGAACAAAGGGCCAUCUUAACUAUACCUUUUCUUUUUGUUCAUUAUAAAGAUUAAAUCACAAUUCACAUAAAGCUCACGACCACCGCAAGCAAAAAUACCCAGAUCUAAGAUGAUUAGCAUUUGUACAAUGGACUAUGUUUCCUACACUAUUUUCUUUUCUUCUCUUUUCCUAUACCUACCAAUCUAGUAACCAUAACAGUUUCCUUUAAUAAUCUCAUGUAAAUGAGCUGCAAAGGAAUAUACAUUAACUCUUCACCCCCUAGAGGGCCUGUAUAGCACUACAGUCACAAACUUUCGGUGAAAGCGAGAUGUUGUCCCAAUUGCCUCAGGCUCCCCAUCACUAGAGUCUUGCUUGUAAAAAUGCUCCAACAUUGUGUGAUGAGGCCUUGGCAGUGUAAGAGGUUGGGCAACAUCAGACGGUGGUCCAUUUAGCAACACCGUAUCAAUUUGUGGAGGCACCUCAGGCGGAUGCUUAUCAAAAUCAAAUGCAUCAUCCAAGGAUAUGUUGUCAUAGCUGGAUAGUGGAGAAUCAGGAGUCUCGAACUCAGCCAGGGUUUCAGGGGCUUCCUGGACACAUUCCUGUGAUGCACAUUAUUUGUGAGUUCAGCUGUACUUGAUUAUUAAAAAAAUCUCUAAUGCUAAUCUGAUAAUAUUAUUCCAGCAAA